AUCGAAAUCUGGACGUGGUCCCGGGGAGUAGGAAAAACCGAACCUCGUUAACAAAUUUCUUGUCUCGUUUACUUUCCGCUAUUUAUCGUACCUCAUCCGCACUUACAAUUGUACCAUCCACAAACAUCAAAAACACCUAAUCUCUGUUUUAAUUGAGGUUCACAUUCAAUACGAGGGGCUGAUGAUAUACAUGUGAACAGAUAUUUCCAUAGGAAGGAUGAGGUAAUGUAGAAGAUGAGAAAAUGGGCGUUGGAAUGGAAGUUUGAGCUCAAGUCUCGAUGGUCAAACAAAAGGAGAGUGAUUUUGGUAUAUGUUGAUGAUAAAUGUACUUAGAAGAUGUGUGCAACUAAGAUAGACUCAUCUGAAUUCUUUGUGGUGAUGAAGUACUGUCAUGAGCACUGAUAUACCUCGAUUUUUACCGGUUUUAACUAUGUUUUAGGUAUA